rnacentral:lncRNA from 1 species
CGGCAUUUCUCGAAGCUUCUUUUCUAUAUCAUCUUUUCGAGUUGGUCAGCAUUGAGGAGAGGCAUGACCUGAGAUAGAAUCCCUUUUAAAAAUCAAGGGAGGAGAAUGCCUAAGCCAGUGACAAGGUGAGCUGUUAGGUCAGCUGUGACGAUUAGCUCCUGCCCUCAGACUAUGGGAAAGCUGGUCUAUAGAUCUCCCUUUGGCU